GAAAAUGGCAACCGAGGGACAGCAAAUCUCUCCUGUAAAAAUGGCAACCGAGGGACAGCAAAUCUUUACUGCGAAAAUGGCAACCAUUAAACAGUUUCCGGUUGCAAAAUCUUGUAGUGCACAAAACAUAAGAAACUUCAAUACCUUUAAUAAAAAGAAAAUGAUAAAAAUAACACAAACGUAAACAUAAAUGCAGAUUUAUUAAGUACAUACACAGAGAAUCUGAGUAAAGACUCAAAGUCAAGUGUACACUCAUCCGAUAUAUCAGAAACAAAUUCCGUAUCAGAAUUAAGUACCUCUGCCGCUGUACAGAAGAGAGAUUUAUUGUCAAAAAGAAAAGUAAAAGGAAAACAACCGGAUGUUUUGCAUAAUGCAAUUUGUAAGGUAACAUCUUUAUUAAAACAAAUAUUCAACUUCUUCGCAAUCUACUGUGCAAUCUACUUCGCAAUCUACGCUAAAGCCCGAAGUAGAAGAUGUAGCUUUUUGCCAGUUAAUACUCUCAACACUAAUAAAUAUGCCACCAAACACAAAAACAGAUAAAAAGAAAGAAUUAUUGCGCAUUAUAUAUGAUAUCUAAUGUGAUAUUCAAGUGAGAUAUAUUUUAAGACAAAAAUA